GCGUCAGUAAUGCAACGAUUCAGUAUACGUUCCCGAAAAGAGUGAGGUCUGGGUUCGAGUCCGGGCUGACGCA